rnacentral:lncRNA from 1 species
AUUAAUAGUAAUGAAAAUUUAGAAUAUUCAUUUCUUCUCUUUUCUUUUUUUCUUAUAUGUAUAAAAAAGAGUAUGUAAAAAAAAAAAAAAAAAUUAUGUAUGUGUAACCAUAUAUACUAAAAAAAAAAGAAUCAAACACAUAAAAACAUUCAACAAAAAGUUAUUUAUUGUCAGAUGGAAGGUUUCUGCUAAAGAAUUAGCAAAAUUAAAGGAACAAUUAAAAAUUUUUAUUACAUCAGAAAUUCAAAAGGAAGGUUCCGCUUUACUUCAAAAAUACUAUAAAGAGUUUUUAAUUCCUGAUGAAGAAACUGAGAAUGAUGUACAAUCUGAAACACUCUUUAAACAAAAUUCUGGGACCCCAUCAUCAGAAAACAUAAAAACCGAUGAAGAAAUUAAAAAAAAUGUAAAUAAAUCUUUUAAUUUAAAUGGCCCUGUUUUAUUAAUUUAAGAUUAAAAAACAAAAAAAAUUGCCCUUUUUUUUUUUUUUUUUUUCUUACACAACGCAUAUGCACGUAUAUAUAUGAUUAUAUAAAUAAAUAUAUAAGUAUAAAUGUAACGAUUUAGUUU